rnacentral:rRNA from 1 species
UAGGGAAUCUUCGGCAAUGGGGGCAACCCUGACCGAGCAACGCCGCGUGAGUGAAGAAGGUUUUCGGAUCGUAAAGCUCUGUUGUAAGAGAAGAACGUGUGUGAGAGUGGAAAGUUCACACAGUGACGGUAACUUACCAGAAAGGGACGGCUAACUACGUGCCAGCAGCCGCGGUAAUACGUAGGUCCCGAGCGUUGUCCGGAUUUAUUGGGCGUAAAGCGAGCGCAGGCGGUUUAAUAAGUCUGAAGUUAAAGGCAGUGGCUUAACCAUUGUGCGCGUUGGAAACUGUUAAACUUGAGUGCAGAAGGGGAGAGUGGAAUUCCAUGUGUAGCGGUGAAAUGCGUAGAUAUAUGGAGGAACACCGGUGGCGAAAGCGGCUCUCUGGUCUGUAACUGACGCUGAGGCUCGAAAGCGUGGGGAGCAAACAGG